rnacentral:rRNA from 1 species
CCCUUAGACGUUCUGGGCCGCACGCGCGCUACACUGACGAAGGCAACGAGCUUUCCUUUACCGAAAGGUACGGGUAAUCUUUUGAAACUUCGUCGUGCUGGGGAUAGAUCCUUGCAAUUUUUGAUCUUAAACGAGGAAUGCCUAGUAAGCGCAAGUCAUCAACUUGCGUUGAUUACGUCCCUGCCCUUUGUACACACCGCCCGUCGCUACUACCGAUUGAAUGGUUUAGUGAGGCCUUCGGAUCCGCGACUCGUUUGUGGAGAAGCUGGACAAACUCAGUCAUUUAGAGGAAGUAAAAGUCGUAACA